rnacentral:rRNA from 1 species
UACGGGGGAUGCAAGCGUUAUCCGGAAUCAUUGGGCGUAAAGCGCCUGUAGGUUGUUUAAUAAGUCUGUUGUUAAAGACUAGGGCUCAACCCUAGAAAAGCAAUGGAAACUAUUAGACUAGAGUAUGGCAGGGGUAGAGGGAAUUUCUAGUGUAGCGGUGAAAUGCGUAGAUAUUAGAAAGAACACCAGCGGCGAAAGCGCUCUACUGGACCAUUACUGACACUCAGAGGCGAAAGCUAGGGUAGCAAAAGGGAUUAGAUACCCCUGUAGUCCUAGCCGUAAACGAUGGAUACUAGAUGUUGUGCUUCCGUACAGUAUCGUAGCUAACGCGUUAAGUAUCCCGCCUGGGGAGUACGCUCGCAAGGGUG